rnacentral:rRNA from 1 species
UACGUAGGGGGCAAGCGUUGUCCGGAUUUAUUGGGCGUAAAGAGCGUGUAGGCGGCCGCACAGGUCCGUUGUGAAAACUGGAGGCUCAACUUCCAGACGUCGACGGAAACCGUGUGGCUAGAGUCCGGAAGAGGAGAGUGGAAUUCCUGGUGUAGCGGUGAAAUGCGCAGAUAUCAGGAAGAACACCAAUGGCGAAGGCAGCUCUCUGGGACGGUACUGACGCUGAGACGCGAAAGCGUGGGGAGCGAACAGG